AUACAUACUUCACACACACACAGUCAAACACUACCAUCAAUACAUACUUCACACACACACAGGUUCAGUCAAACACUACCAUCAAUACAUACUUCACACACACAGGUUCAGUCAAACACUACCAUCAAUAUUAUACAUACUUCACACACACACACACACACACACACACACACAGAGGUUCAUUACAUAUUCAUAUCACACCUAUAUGUUUUCACCAUACUUCUGUGUUCUGUUUAACACACUGUUGUAAACUU